AUAAUGUUUCCAUUAAUAAGUAAAUGUAUUCAGAAGUAUGUACAAUAUCUUUACGACUAUGUGUGGGAUCAUGCUUCGUUUUUAAAUGUAUGUUUAGUAUGCCUCCUAAAGAAUGUCAAAUCAUAUUUCUUUUUCAAUGAAAUGAAGGAGUCCUGGAAUAUUUCGAAUGCAUGUUAUUAUGUGAGUAUUGCAUCCAACGUGUCUGACAAAACCUCCUUGUGUCUCCCCUAGAGUAAUCUUUUGUAUUUUCUUACACAAAACAGUCUAAUUUCAACCUAUCAAAGCAGUACUUAAAGUACUCGUAAUUCUGUUUUCCAUAGUAAUUUCUACAUAAACGUUUAAUUGCAGUAAUAUUCGAGACACUCGGCGGAAAGCAGUACCUACUUUUUAACGGGCAUCGAUUCACCAAAAACAAAGUGAUUGGUCCCAAAACAUGGUGGGUGUGUUCCAAGAGAUGCUCCACUAAAUGCAAGUCUUCCAUCACCACGAUCUACAAGAACAUCAUCAAAAUCGGACAACCACAUUCACACCAUCCCGACAUUGCACACUAUGAGGUGGGGAUUGGAAUUUCGAAAAACAAUUUAUAUUAUUUCUGAAUUUGGUGAUGGCGAGAUAUUGGAAUAGAGAAUCGGAAAAGAGCCUGGUGGAGCUGAUGAUAAAAUCGGGUUCGACAUAUCUGCGAGUGUAAGCAGAGAAGGAAUGAUGCCAGAAAUUUGCGAGAAUAACCUUUAUAAACAUUACGCUAAAUGUUAGCAGCUGUAGGAGUAAUCAUGAAGAAAUAUGGCGCGGCUUGCGGUUAUAAUAUGGUGACCAAUGAAAGUGGAACUAAAACAUUUAUGUGGUACCAUGGUUAUCGUUACUCGAAACAUCACACUGUGGGACACAGGGUGUGGUGGGUGUGUAGUAGAAGAAGAUCUUUACGAUGCCCUGCGUCCAUGGUCACCUUCAAUAAGAAACCGAUUGAUGUUAACGCAAAACAUACUCAUAAAAAUUACUAAUCAUGUAUAUUAAUGGAUUUUUAUUGUUACUUGUUACAUCAUCUAUAUAUAGUUUGUAAAAAGUACCAUAUUUUUAGAUUUUUUAUGUGUCUUCGCUGCUGGAUUAGGACUAUUCAUUAUUACAUUAAUGGACAUGAAUGACUAAUGACUAUGACAUUAAUGGAAAUGUUUGAAUCAAAACCUGCUUUAGUAUUCCAUUGUGGGUUUAUGAGCCACCAAAAACUUCUUUUAGACUGUAAUUUUCUCACGUGGAUCUAAGGAUAGCUUAAAUCCUAGCGAUGAGAAUCCCAUAAAUGAUUAUCCUUAGUAUUACACGUAUUAUACGACUAAUUAUAAUCUUAAUGAUCUGACUUUGUCAAUUCUUUGUUUUAAGCCUUAAUUCUAAUCUGUAGUCAACAUUGAUAAAUAUAAAGUAUGGUAUAUGCGUUACAGUUUACUAUUUAGCUAAGAGCAUUCGGUCUUAUACGUUACCAGCUAUCGUUACCGUCUCUACUAUUCAACAAAGCAAUAUCAUUUUAGUAACUCAACAUCAUAUACGAAUUAAUUUAAGCGUAUUAAAGUACAAUAUAUUAAACUAUUUUACGCUGCACCUUCGUGAUCACGCUGCGUACCACGAAGGCUGCAAAUUGUUAGAAACGUCGUGAAAUAAUUAUAAUAUAAAAAAGUGCGAUAAAAUCCGUAAAAUAGUUUUAUUUAAAUGUUUAACAUUCACGUAAACAUGAGAAAUCAUUGCUCUCUCAUUAUUUGAAAUCUUACUUAUUAAUGUUUGUUUCAUAAAAUGCAUUCAUUAGACAAGAUUUGCAUCAUAUAUUGUUCAUAUGUAGCACCGCAUGAUGAGCGACGAACAAUAUAUAAUAUAAUGUGAUUCAAGAGUGUUCUGCCACUUGUAUAUCAUAGUUAUGUAAGCUGUAUAUAUAGGUUUCCUAAUAAACAUGGUACAGCUAGUAUUGCGAUAUUCACAUCCGCUUCCGCCAAUAUUAAUCUAUCUUUAGUUGAUUUCGAUUUUUUUAUUACUUUUUGUAUGUAAUGUUGUUAAUUUUGUUGGCAACACUUCAUAAAUAAAAUAAAAUAAAAAUCUAUGAUCUUUAACGCGAGGCGUCGCACACUCUACAUGCAAAUGCAGACGUAUAAAGUCCUCAGUCGAGUUAUAUUAUAAACAAGACGAAUUUUAUGCCUUUGUACCACGUUUAUUGGUAAAGCAACAAUAUACAUAAUAUGUAUUUCCUCUGAGAGUUGUCUAACAAUCUAGUCGAUAUGUCUGUUAUUUGAUUUUAUAGUGAUAUUAAAGUAUUAAUCUGUGUGUUGUGAUAGUUUCCUGCAAUAAUAAUAAAUUGAUUUUAACGCUA
rnacentral:lncRNA from 1 species